GGGAGAAGAUUUAUAAUGAGUUGGAAAAAAUGUUGAAGAAUACAUUUAUUAAAAAACCAGAAGCCUUUCUACUUGGAAUAAUAGGACUAGAAUUGACCAAAAAAGAUUUUAGAAUGUUUUUGUAUGCCACUACAGCGGCAAGAAUUUUAUUUGCCCAAAACUGGAAAUCGCAAGAGAUGCCAACAAUAGAAGAAUGGCAGAUGAAGAUGUUGGACUUUUUGGAGCUGGCCGACCUGACUGGAAGAAUCCGCAACCAGAAAGAAGAGACCCAAAAGGAUUGGAAGAAUUUUAAAGAAUACCUAGCUAAAUACUGUAAUAUAAGAUAAAGAGAAAUCUCUUGGAAGUAAAAAAUUAGGCCUAGCGUUACAAUAAGUUUAUGUAGUUAAAAAUACAAAUGAUUGGAAUAUUAAUAAUGGAGAAGAAGUUAGUAAAUGAAAGAAGUUAAUAUUAUUAGAAAUAUGAAUUUGGAGAACUGCUAAUUAGGUGAUAAAAUGAAAUUCAGUUAGAGGGGAUUCGAGGAAGUCAUCAAUGUAAUGCAAUCCGGAUUUGGAAAUUAAAAUUCUUUUCUAUAUGUUUUUCUGUAUUUUUGUGUAUUGUAAUGUUUUUCUUUUGUCUUUUUUUCUUUUUCUUUUGUACAUGACUAAUGUGAAAAUUAAUUUAAAAAAUUGGGGGGGGGGGAGUCCACACUGAUUGUCAGUGGCUCUCCAGGACUUCCCUACACUUCCUGGCAAACCUGGGAGUGUCUACAUGCUCUUUCACUGAGCUAUGACCCCCCUCUCUUGCAAGACAGCUUUGAUCUACAGAGAAGGGAAAUGACUGGUUGUAUGGAAAGAAGGGGUUGCUAAGAUCCAAGAUGUAACUGAACGACUGCAAGGAAUCAUAAAACCCACUGACAAAUACCCCUUCCUCUUGGUUCAUGUGGGAACCAAUGACACUGCAAGCAAUAGCCUCCAGAAGAUCAAAAGAGACUACGAGGCUCUGGGCAGGAAAUUGAAGCAAUUAAAUGCACAAAUUGUCAUCUCAUCUGUCCUCCCAGUUGAACGACGUGGCCCAGGGAGAGAGGGAAAAAUAGUGGAAGUGAACAGCUGGCUUUGCAAAUGGUGUAAACAGGAACGGUUUGGAUUCUUAGAUCACGGACUGCAGUUUCUUGAAGAUGGACUUCUGGCAAGCGAUGGGCUGCACCUCACAACGGUUGGGAGAAAUGUUUUUGCCAAAAAUCUCAGAAACCUCAUCAGGAGGGCUUUAAACUGACUAAUGUGGGGGAGGGAGACAGUGCUCCUGAAGGUAGGAGUCUAUCAAUUGAUGAAGAUGAUCAUCCAAAUGUCAUAGACCAAAUGGAGCAAACAGCACGCAGACCUAGUGGUGGGAGGAAAAAAUCCUUAAAUAAGAGACACGGGGGAAUGAUUAAUGGACUUCAGUGUCUGUACACUAAUGCGCAAAGCAUGGGAAAUAAACAAGAUGAGCUUGAGCUCUUGGUACAGCAAACUAAAUAUGACAUAAUAGGCAUCACUGAAACCUGGUGGGAUAAGUCCCACAAUUGGAAUGUAAUAAUGGAGGGAUACAAUCUAUUUCAGAGAAACAGACCAGACAAAAAAGGAGGAGGAGGAGUGGCGUUAUAUGUCAGGAAUGUGUAUACCUGUGAAGAGAUCCAAGAUUUAGAACCUCAAAGCCAAAGUGAGAGCAUUUGGGUCAAAAUUAAGGGAGAGAAGAAUAACAGUGACCUCAUUGUGGGAGUUUACUAUAGAUCCCCAAGCCAAACAGAGGACAUAAAUGAUGCCUUCCUGGAACAGAUGGCCAAGCAUGCAAAAGGAAGGGAGAUAGUAGUAAUGGGGGACUUCAAUUACCCGGAUAUUUGUUGGAUGUCAAACUCAGCCAAGAGCAUAAGGUCAAACAGAUUCCUCACUGGCCUUGCAGACAACUUCAUUGUCCAGAAAGUGGGAGAAGCAACAAGAGGAACAGCCAUUUUAGAUCUGGUCCUAACCAAUGUUGAUGACCUGGUUAGUGGGGUAGAAGUGGAUGGAUCAUUAGGCGCGAGUGAUCAUGCUCUUCUGAAGUUUACUAUACAGCGGAAAGGAGCAGCCAAGCAUACUAGGACUCAAUUUCUUGACUUUAAGAAAGCCGACUUCAUAAAACUUAGGGAAGUGCUGGGUGAGAUCCCAUGGACAGUAAUACUAAAAGGAAAAGGAGUUCAUGAUGGCAGGGAGUUUGUUAAGAGGGAGAUAGUAAAAGCACAACGUCAGGCAUUACCAAUGAGAUGGAAACAUGGAAGGUACCUAAAGAAGCCAGGGUGGCUAUCUAAAGAACUUUUAACUGAGUUAAGAUUAAAAAAGGAUGUGUACAAAAAAUGGAAAAGGGGGGAAACCACCAAAGAGGAAUUCAAACAAAUAGCCAGCACGUGUAGACACAAAGUCAGAAAAGCUAAAGCACAGAAUGAACUCAGGCUUGCUAGAGAGGUUGAAAGCAACAAAAAGGUUUUUAUGGGUAUGUUCGUAGCAAAAGGAAGAACAAAGAAACAGUGGGGUCACUCAGAGGAGAAGAUGGCGAAAUGCAAACAGGGGACACAGAAAGGGCUGAACUCCUCAAUGCCUUCUUUGCCUCAGUCUUCUCCAACAAAGAAAACAAUGCCCGACCUGAAGAAUUUGAAGCAAAUGAUUCAGCAAAGGAAACACAGCCCAGAAUAACUAAGGAGAUAGUACAAGAAUACUUGGCUAGUUUAGAUGUAUUCAAGUCUCCAGGGCCAGAUGAACUGCAUCCAAGAGUAUUAAAAGAACUGGCAGAUGUGAUCUCAGAACCACUGGCAGUCAUCUUUGAGAAUUCCUGGAGAACAGGCGAAGUCCCGGCAGAUUGGAGGAGGGCAAAUGUUGUCCCUAUUUUCAAAAAAGGGGAAAGAGAGGACCCAAAUAAUUACCGCCCAGUCCGUCUGACAUCAAUACCAGGGAAGAUUCUGGAGCAGAUAAUUAAGCAAACAGUCUGUGAGCACCUAGAAAGGAAUGCUGUGAUCACCAAUAGUCAGCAUGGAUUUCUGAAAAAUAAGUCAUGUCAGACUAACCUGAUCUCGUUUUUUGACAGAAUUACAAGCCUGGUAGAUGAAGGGAACGCAGUGGAUGUAGCCUACCUUGAUUUCAGCAAGGCAUUUGACAAGGUGCCCCAUGAUAUUCUUGUAAAGAAGCUGGUAAAAUGCGGUCUUGACUAUGCUACCACUCAGUGGAUUUGUAACUGGCUGACUGACCGAACGCAAAGGGUGCUCAUCAAUGGUUCCUCUUCAUCCUGGAGAAGAGUGACUAGUGGGGUGCCACAGGGUUCUGUCUUGGGCCCGGUCUUAUUCAACAUCUUUAUCAACGACUUAGAUGAUGGACUCAAGGGCAUCCUGAUCAAAUUUGCAGAUGACACCAAACUGGGAGGGGUGGCUAACACCCCAGAGGACAGGAUCACACUUCAAAACGACCUUGACAGAUUAGAGAACUGGGCCAAAACAAACAAGAUGAAUUUUAACAGGGAGAAAUGUAAAGUAUUGCACUUGGGCAAAAAAAUGAGAGGCACAAAUACAAGAUGGGGGACACCUGGCUUGAGAGCAGUACAUGUGAAAAGGAUCUAGGAGUCUUGGUUGACCACAAACUUGACAUGAGCCAACAGUGUGACGCGUCAGCUAAAACAGCCAAUGCAAUUCUGGGCCUCAUCAAUAGCAGUAUAGCAUCUAGAUCAAGGGAAGUAAUAGUGCCACUGUAUUCUGCUCUGGUCAGACCUCACCUGGAGUACUGUGUCCAGUUCUGGGCACCACAGUUCAAGAAGGACACUGACAAACUGGAACGUGUCCAGAGGAGGGCAACCAAAUGGUCAAAGGCCUGGAAACGAUGCCUUAUGAGGAACGGCUAAGGGAGCUGGGCAUGUUUAGCCUGGAGAAGAGGAGGUUAAAGGGUGAUAUGAUAGCCAUGUUCAAAUAUAUAAAAGGAUGUCACAUGGAGGAGGGAGAAAGGUUGUUUUCUGCUGCUCCAGAGAAGCGGACAUGGAGCAAUGGAUCCAAACUACAAGAAAGAAGAUUCCACCUAAACAUUAGGAAGAACUUCCUGACAGUAAGAGCUGUUCGACAGUGGAAUUUGCUGCCAAGGAGUGUGGUGGAGUCUCCUUCUUUGGAGGUCUUUAAGCAGAGGCUUGACAACCAAAUGUCAGGAGUGCUCUGAUGGUGUUUCCUGCUUGGCAGGGGGUUGGACUCGAUGGCCCUUGUGGUCUCUUCCAACUCUAUGAUUCUAUGAUUCUAUGAUGAUUUUCUGGGGGCAGUACACAGGAAAAGGAUUUGCUCCUUUUCUGCACUCCCCAAAGAAGACAAUUACAGUGGUGCCUCGUAAGACGAAAUUAAUUCGUUCCGUGAAUUUUUUUGUCUAGCGAAUUUUUUGUCUUGCGAAGCACGAAAUCACAUAGGAAUGCCUUGAAAUUCAAUUAAUGUGUUCCUUUGGUCAAAAAAAGUCCAAACAAAGCCAAAUUUGGUACAACAAGAGUUUAUUAAGUGCUCUUUAAAGUCACACAUACUGUAAAGAGCAUUUCAAAAAUUGAAGGAACAAUAAAUUAAGUUUCUAAACAUGACAGAAAAACAUUUAAAAAUCAACAAAGUGUACAUACAUUUUCUAAGACUCUGGGGGACAACUCGAAGAAGGUUCCUCUUCCACUCUUUGCUUCUUGCUGAAGAACCCCCUCCUCAACUGUUCACCCAGCCACCCACCACACAGAAAUUCAAAUCCAGAAUUUUUUUAAAAAAACAGCAGAGUGGCCCAAUGGUCACAGAAAAUCAUAAAAAUGCAGAAAAAAACCACACAAGCUUCCAGAUUCUUGCAAACCCCUCCUCAACUGUUCCCCCAGCCACCCACCACACAGAAAUUCAAACCCAGAAUUUUUUUUAAAAAAACAGCAGAGUGGCCCAAUGGUCACAAAAAAUCAUA